UUGGCUUGUCGCACCAUAGCC
rnacentral:miRNA from 1 species